UACGAGGGGGGCAAGCGUUGUUCGGAAUUAUUGGGCGUAAAGGGUGCGUAGGCGGUCUGACAAGUCUGAUGUGAAAUCUAUGGGCUCAACCCAUAGUCUGCAUCGGAAACUGUCGGGCUAGAGUCCGGGAGAGGCGAGUGGAAUUCCUGGUGUAGCGGUGAAAUGCGCAGAUAUCAGGAGGAACACCAAUGGCGAAGGCAGCUCGCUGGAACGGUACUGACGCUGAGACGCGAAAGCGUGGGGAGCAAACAGG
rnacentral:rRNA from 1 species